GCUGGUGGUAGUACAUGUGUGUGUGUGCAACCUACUACUCAGAUGUGAUAAAUACGUGCAACAUAAAAUUGUGAAUCAUUAAUAAAAAGGUUCGUCCUGCAACCCCUCAACGACGACGACGGCGACGACGACGUGGACGGGCCUAAGCAAACACAAGAAAUGCUACAUGAAAAUGAUUCGAUAGCAAAGGGAAAACCUUUCUCCGCUCCGUAGUUAU
rnacentral:lncRNA from 1 species